GCUGGGCAUGGUGGCAUGUGCUUCUAGUCCCAGCUAUUUGCGGGGGCUGAGGCAGGAGGAAUGCUUGGGGCCAAAAGUUCUGGGCCAUAGUGCUCAUGCCAAUUGGAUGUCUGCACUAAGUUUGGCAUCAAUAUGGUGACCUCCUGGGAGUGGGGCCCACCAGGCUGGCAAAGGAGGGGUGAAUGGAACCAGGUCAGAAGCAGAGGAGGUUAUAACUCCUGUGCUGAUCAGUAGUGAGAUUGCCUGGAAUAGCUACUGUACUCCAUCCUGGGCAACAUAGUGAGACACUAUU
rnacentral:SRP_RNA from 1 species